GACGAACGCUGGCGGCGUGCUUAACACAUGCAAGUCGAACGAUGAAGCCGGAGCUUGCUCUGGUGAAUUAGUGGCGAACGGGUGAGUAACACGUGAGUAACCUGCCCUUGACUCUGGGAUAACUGCGGGAAACUGUAGCUAAUACCGGAUACGACCCUCGGAGGCAUCUCCUGGGGGUGGAAAGAAUUUCGGUCAAGGAUGGACUCGCGGCCUAUCAGCUAGUUGGUGAGGUAACGGCUCACCAAGGCGACGACGGGUAGCCGGCCUGAGAGGGUGACCGGCCACACUGGGACUGGAACACGGCCCCGACUCCUACGGGAGGCAGCAGUGGGGAAUAUUGCACAAUGGGCGCAAGCCUGAUGCAGCAACGCCGCGUGAGGGAUGACGGCCUUCGGGUUGUAAACCUCUUUUAGUAGGGAAGAAGCGAAAGUGACGGUACCUGCAGAAAAAGCACCGGCUAACUACGUGCCAGCAGCCGCCGUAA
rnacentral:rRNA from 1 species